rnacentral:lncRNA from 1 species
UCAAAAAUAAUUUUAUUAAAAAAAUUAGAUAAGCUGUAAACACAAGUUUGAAGCAAAUUCACAGACUCUUCCAAAAGCUCUUUUGGAAGUUCCCAAUUCAAAACCAACUCUUCAAAACUUUCCCAAAAGCCUGUUGAAUAACAGCCCCCCCUUUUUCAAAUCAUCAGCAUCAACAUCACUUUCACUUCACCUGCAAAACCAAUUCAAAAUUAAAAACAGCUUAUCAAAAUAGCACUUAAAAAUCUGGAAAUAAUUAAUAGAAAGAAGCAUAUUAAUAUGUUACACAAUGAAUCAAAGGAAGCGCUCAGAAAACACACUGCAUUAUCAAAUAACAACUUUAAAUCCAUAGAUUAAUCAUCCCACAAAAUCGGAAAUAGAUCCAACAAGUUGUCUCGAAACCAACAUUCAUGUAUAUAAACACAAAAACUAAUUAACAGUAACACGUUUGAUAAAAAUCCAAAGAAAUUUUCCAAUGUUUUUUCUCUGUUAACUCCAAAGAGACAAACACAGUAGCUAUUUCUUCUAAAAAACCUUAAACCACACAACAACAAGAAUCACUUUUUUCCUAAAACCAGAACGGCAUGGCAGAACAAACGCAGCAAAGCUUUUUUUCAAAACUCUUAAACAACAACAGCAACCACACACAAAGCUAUUCUUUCUAAAAACCCUAGAACAACACACUAAACAUAGCAAAAAAAGCAAUUCUUCUCAAAGAGCACAUAAUCACACCUUACCAGAAGCAGAUCGAUAGUGAAAGAAAAGUAGAGGAAGGAUGGCUAGUGCGAAGAGGUCACCGGAUUCACGAAGUUGGCGUCAUCGACGAAGCCGUCAUCCUCGUCGUCGCUUGCUGAGAUAUCCUGCAUCGGCGCGGAGGUU